rnacentral:lncRNA from 1 species
GUAAUAUCCCUCACUUUUGAAAAUUUAUUAAUAAGGAUUUAUAUGUAAAUUAGAGGACCUAUAUGUAAAUAUAGAAAUUUCAAGGAUUAAACUGUUAAGUUGCAAAAAGAAAAAAAAAAUAAAGAAAACCGAAAAUUUCGGUUUUAUCCCACCGCCUCCCACGCUCUCUCUGUUUCUUCGAGAAACAAAGAGAAGAAACAGAGAGAAGCGGUGGGGCAUGGGGAGAAGAAGAAGAGAAGUUGAGGGAGGAGAGAAGAAAAGAAGAAGAGGAGGGAAAAGAAGAGAUUAGGAAGAAGAGGGAGAAGAGAAGAAAAGAAGAAGAAGAAGAAGAAAAGAGGGAUUCUAAAACUUCUGAAUUAGUGAUCGAAGGUAUUAUGUAUGUUUAUGAAAGAAUGCAAAUAUUUGUUUGACCAUGAGUCCCAUCUACGAUUUGAUUCGUAAUAUUUUGCUUAUCACAUGGGUAUUCAACCUAGACCACUACAUUAUGUGCUAUAUGUAAAUACGAUCAUUGGAGAUUCUUUGAUAACGAACUUGAAUCUGGUCCUCUUGUCUGAUUUUUAUUAAAGAACUUGAACUUUUGCCGAUUUAGUUCUCCUAGAGAUUUGGAGUUAUGAUAUUAUACUUGGUAUGGAUUGGCUAUCUUCUUAUCAUACCAGUAUGGAUUGGUAUAUAACAAAUGAUCACUUUUUGCAUAUUUGAUCAGCCGAUCUUUUAUUUUGAGAGUAUUGGACAUGAUUUAUUUCCUUGCCUAAUGUAUCCCAGGAUGACUUGCUUAGAUUACCUCCAAACGUGAAUUUGUUUUUGAUUUGAUCCUUGGGAUAAUCUCAAUAUCUAAGCCUCUCUAGAGAAUGACAUCAUUUGAGUAAGUGGAAUUAGAAAAGCAACUACAAGGACUAUUAAAUAAGGAUUUUAUUUGGCUUAAUAUUUCAUCAUGGGAUACUCCGGUGUUAGUUAAAAAGAUGGAUGGAACAUUGAGACUUUGUAUUGAUUAUGGACAGUUGAAUCAGGUGACCAUAAAAAAAAACGAGUAUUUUCUGAAGUAACGACUUGCUUGAUUAACUAUAGGGUGCGCAAGUAUUUUUAGAAAUUGAUUGAAGGUCGGGUUACCGUCUAUUGAGGAUCAAGGAGGAGGAUAUUUCGGUCACUCUUGGAUAAUUAUGUCAUUAUAUUGUAUUGAUGAAAUUAUUUGAGAGCAGGAGGAGGAAAUAAAGAAAUCAUAAUCCUCAUCUUUUCAUCGAUUGAGCUAUGAUCAAUUUAGAGGACUAAAUUUUCUUUUAAGGGGGGGAGAGUGUAAUAUCCCUCACUUUUGAAAAUUUAUUAAUAAGGAUUUAUAUGUAAAUUGGAGGACCUAUAUGUAAAUAUAGAAAUUACAAGGACUAAACUGUUAAGUUGCAAAAAUAAAAAAAAAAAAACCGAAAAUUUCGGUUUUAUCCCACCGCGUGGGGAGAAGAAGAAUAGAAGUUGAGGGAGAAGAGAAGAAAAGAAGAAGAGGAGGGAAAAGAAGAGAUUAGGAAGAAGAGGGAGAAGAGAAGAAAAGAAGAAGAAGAAGAAGAGANNN